rnacentral:rRNA from 1 species
AUUGAACGCUGGCGGCAUGCCUUACACAUGCAAGUCGAACGGCAGCACGGGUGCUUGCACCUGGUGGCGAGUGGCGAACGGGUGAGUAAUACAUCGGAACAUGUCCUGUAGUGGGGGAUAGCCCGGCGAAAGCCGGAUUAAUACCGCAUACGAUCUACGGAUGAAAGCGGGGGACCUUCUGGCCUCGCGCUUUAGGGUUGGCCGAUGGCUGAUUAGCUAGUUGGUGGGGUAAAGGCCUACCAAGGCGACGAUCAGUAGCUGGUCUGAGAGGACGACCAGCCACACUGGGACCGAGACACGGCCCAGACUCCUACGGGAGGCAGCAGUGGGGAAUUUUGGACAAUGGGCGAAAGCCUGAUCCAGCAAUGCCGCGUGUGUGAAGAAGGCCUUCGGGUUGUAAAGCACUUUUGUCCGGAAAGAAAUCCUUGGCCCUAAUACGGUCGGGGGAUGACGGUACCGGAAGAAUAAGCACCGGCUAACUACGUG